rnacentral:rRNA from 1 species
GACGAAUGCUGGCUGCGUGCUUAACACAUGCAAGUCGAACGGUGAAGGAGGGCUUGCCCUCCGGAUCAGUGGCGAACGGGUGAGUAACACGUGGGCAGCCUGCCCCUCACUCUGGGAUAACGCCGGGAAACCGGCGCUAAUACCGGAUACGACCAGGCGCGACAUCUCGCCGGGUGGAAAGAAUUUCGGUGAGGGAUGGGCCCGCGGCCUAUCAGCUUGUUGGUGGGGUAACGGCCCACCAAGGCGACGACGGGUAGCCGGCCUGAGAGGGCGACCGGCCACACUGGGACUGAGACACGGCCCAGACUCCUACGGGAGGCAGCAGUGGGGAAUAUUGCGCAAUGGGCGAAAGCCUGACGCAGCGACGCAGCGUGAGGGACGAAGGCCUUCGGGUUGUAAACCUCUUUCAGCGGGGACGAAGCGAAAGUGACGGUACCCGCAGAAGAAGCACCGGCUAACUACGUGCCAGCCGCCGCCGUAAAAC